GUGGGGAAUUUUGGACAAUGGGCGCAAGCCUGAUCCAGCAAUGCCGCGUGCAGGAAGAAGGCCUUCGGGUUGUAAACUGCUUUUGUACGGAACGAAACGGCUCUGGUUAAUACCCGGGGCUAAUGACGGUACCGUAAGAAUAAGCACCGGCUAACUACGUGCCAGCAGCCGCGGUAAUACGUAGGGUGCAAGCGUUAAUCGGAAUUACUGGGCGUAAAGCGUGCGCAGGCGGUUUUGUAAGACAGGCGGGAAAUCCCCGGGCUCAACCUGGGAAUGGCGCUUGUGACUGCAAAGCUGGAGUGCGGCAGAGGGGGAUGGAAUUCCGCGUGUAGCAGUGAAAUGCGUAGAUAUGCGGAGGAACACCGAUGGCGAAGGCAAUCCCCUGGGCCUGCACUGACGCUCAUGCACGAAAGCGUGGGGAGCAAACAGGAUUAGAUACCCUGGUAGUCC
rnacentral:rRNA from 1 species